rnacentral:lncRNA from 10 species
CACCUGGGGGAGGAGGAAACAGACAGGAGGAUUAGCUCAGCUAGCUACCUGGCCCUUAUUCCUGAGAUGAGGUGAUAUCUGUAGCCUUUCUAGCUAUACCAAUGCAAGGGAAUUUUGGUCGGUUUACCCCAUGCUGGACUUGAAGGACAACGAUGGAUCAGGGAAAACGGUAAGUCAAUGAGGACAAUGAUAGGUCAGGUAAAAGAAGGAGUGGCAAGGCAGUGAGAUUGCCACUGUGAGUAGUAGCAUAAAGGGGCAGAGAUGAGCAGAGAAGACCACCUCAACCACUGUAUUUCCUGGAAAAAGCUAGCAAAUGGCUUGAAACUAAGUCAAGAUAUCACUUUUUUUGGAGAUGGGGUCUUGCUAUGUUGCCCAGGCUGGUCUUGAACUCCUGGGCUCAAGCAAUUCUCCCACCUUGGCCUCCCAAGU